GGAGUGGCGCAAGGGUGCGUAACACGUGGGUAAUUUGCCGUGAAGUUGGGGAUAACUUGCUGAAAGGCGAGCUAAUACCGAAUGUGACCGUUAGGAGGCAUCUUCUGACGUUCAAAGUUGGGGACCGCAAGGCCUGACGCUUCACGAUAAGCCCGCGGCCUAUCAGCUAGUUGGUGAGGUAACGGCCCACCAAGGCUAAGACGGGUAGCUGGUCUGAGAGGACGACCAGCCACACUGGAACUGAGACACGGUCCAGACACCUACGGGUGGCAGCAGUCGAGAAUUUUUCUCAAUGGGCGAAAGCCUGAAGGAGCGACGCCGCGUGGGGGAUGAAGGGCUUCGGCCUGUAAACCCCUGUCAUUUGCGAACAAACCUUGUCCGAUAACACCGGACGAGCUGAUUGUAGCGAAAGAGGAAGGGACGGCUAACUCUGUGCCAGCAGCCGCGGUAAUACAGAGGUCCCAAGCGUUGUUCGGAUUCACUGGGCGUAAAGGGUGCGUAGGUGGCUGGGUAAGUUUGAUGUGAAAUCUCCAAGCUCAACUUGGAAAUGGCAUUGAAUACUAUCCAGCUGGAGGGUCGGAGGGGAGACUGGAAUUCUCGGUGUAGCAGUGAAAUGCGUAGAUAUCGAGAGGAACACCGGUGGCGAAGGCGAGUCUCUGGACGACUCCUGACACUGAGGCACGAAAGCUAGGGGAGCAAACAGGAUUAGAUACCCUGGUAGUCCUAGCCGUAAACGGUGCACAUUUGCUGUAAGAGGAAUCGACCCCUUUUG
rnacentral:rRNA from 1 species